AAAGCAAUGCCCGAUCUCAUCUGAACUCGGAAGUAAAGCAGGGUUGGGCCUGGUUAGUACUUGGAUGGGAGACCGCCUGGCAAUACCAGGU
rnacentral:rRNA from 1 species